rnacentral:rRNA from 1 species
UGAGUUUGAUGAUGGCUCCGAUUGAACGCUACGCAAAUGCUUGACACAUGCUAAUCGUACGGCAAAAAUAUAAUUGUAUAUUAUUGCAGUGGUGAACAGGUGAAUAUAUGAUGAUUAAACUACCAUAUAGUAAGGUACAAAAAUGCCGUAUAAAAAUUAACAAAAAUUAAUAUAAAAGAAAAAAUAGUUUCGCUAUAAGAUGUUUAAUUCUUCCAGGACAGUAGUAGUUAAGGUAAAGGCUUAACUAGCGUAAAUCCUGUAGUCGUAACUGAGAGGUUGAUCGACCACAUUGGGGCUGAAAAAAUCCCAGUAUAUAUAGUACAGCAGUGAGGAAUAUUGGUCAAUGGCCCAACGGCUGAACCAGCAAUUUGCAAUAAUGAGGACGGGACAAUUUGUCUUGCAGCAUCUCGACGCUGCCUUGGGUCCAGUGGUUUAUCCACAUAAAGUUAUGGGUAGAAUAUUGAUAAUGACAGCUUUCUAUUCAAAGGUCUCGACUAAAUCACGUGCCAGCAGUCGCGGUAAUACGGGGGAGACUAGUGUUAUUCAUCUUUAAUUGGUUUAAAGGGUACCUAGACAGUUAAUUUAGCCCUUACUAUAGGGUACAUAUUAAACUAGAGUUUAAUAAAAGAGGAUAAGUUUGGUACUAACAGAGUAGAGAUGAAAUUCUUUGAUACUGUUAUGAACGGGUAACGGCGAAAGCAGUCCUUUAUGUAAAAACUGACGUUGAGGGACGAAGGCAUUGGUAGCAAACAGGAUUAGAUACCCUAAUAGUCUCUGCAGAAAAUUAUGAGUGCCAUAGGUAAGAAAUAUUUUUAUCUAUAAAUGAAAGUGCAAGCAUUCCACCUCAAGAGUAAUGUGGCAACGCAGGAACUGAAAUCAUUAGACCGUUUCUGAAACCAGUAGUGAAGUAUGUUAUUUAAUUUGAUGAUCCGCAAAAAACCUUACCAGAAUUUGAAUAUUUAUAGUAAUAACUUUACUAUUUAUACAAGUGUUGCAUGGCUGUCUUUAGUUAAUGUCGUGAGACGCAGGUUAGAUCCAUUGAAUUAACGAAAGCCCUUACCUUAUUUGUUUUUAUAAGGCAGUUCUCUAGUAUACCGGAUUAGAUAACAGGGAUUAAGACAAGUAAUCAUGGCCUUAAUAUUAUGGGCUAUAGACGUGCCACAUAUACCUAGACAAACGGAUGUUUAAAUGUGAAUAUUAACUAAUCUCAUAAAACAGGUUAUAAUAUGGAUUGCAGUCUGAAAUUUGACUGCAUGAAUAAGGAAUUACUAGUAAUCGUUUAUCACCACGGCACGGUGAAUUCUUUCUCAGAUAGGUACUAACUACUCGUCAAGCGCUGAAAGAAAUAUGUGCAAUAAGUUUGGUUAUUGUAGAUUUAUAAAAAGAUAGAUGUUCUUUUAUGUUUAUAAAUGAUCUUCGUAUGCGUGAUUUUGAUUAGUGUUAAGUCGAAAUAUGGUUCGUGUAGUGGAAAUUGCACGGGUUUUAUUAAUAUUA